GAGGCGGUAACAUUUCAAAGCUUGCUUUUGAAGAUGACGAGCGGCGGACGGGUGAGUAAUGCCUGGGAAUUUGCCCAUUUGUGGGGGAUAACAGUUGGAAACGACUGCUAAUACCGCAUACGCCCUACGGGGGAAAGCAGGGGACCUUCGGGCCUUGCGCUGAUGGAUAAGCCCAGGUGGAAUUAGCUAGUAGGUGAGGUAAUGGCUCACCUAGGCGACGAUCCCUAGCUGGUCUGAGAGGAUGAUCAGCCACACUGGGACUGAGACACGGCCCAGACUCCUACGGGAGGCAGCAGUGGGGAAUAUUGCACAAUGGGGGAAACCCUGAUGCAGCCAUGCCGCGUGUGUGAAGAAGGCCUUCGGGUUGUAAAGCACUUUCAGCGAGGAGGAAAGGGUGUAAGUUAAUACCUUACAUCUGUGACGUUACUCGCAGAAAGAAGCACCGGCUAACUUCGUGCCAGCAGCCGCGGUAAUACGGAGGGUGCGAGCGUUAAUCGGAAUUACUGGGGCGUAAAGCGUGCGGAGGCGGUUUGUUAAGCGAGAUGUGAAAGCCCCGGGCUCAACCUGGGAACCGCAUUGUCGAACUGGCAAACUAGAGUCUUGUAGAGGGGUGGUAGAAUCCCAGGUGUACCGGUGAAAUGCGUAGAGAUCUGGAGAAUACACGGUGGCGAAGCGGGUCCCUGGGACAAAGACUGACGCGCAGCACGAAA
rnacentral:rRNA from 1 species